CACGUAGGGGGCGAGCGUUGUCCGGAAUCAUUGGGCGUAAAGAGCUCGUAGGCGGCUCAGUAAGUCGGGUGUGAAACCCUCAGGCUCAACCUGGGGACGCCACCCGAUACUGCUGUGGCUAGAGUCCAGUAGGGGAGUGUGGAAUUCCCGGUGUAGCGGUGAAAUGCGUAGAUAUGCGGAGGAACACCGAUGGCGAAGGCAAUCCCCUGGGCCUGCACUGACGCUCAUGCACGAAAGCGUGGGGAGCAAACAGG
rnacentral:rRNA from 1 species